rnacentral:rRNA from 3 species
GACCCCAGGUCAGGCGGGAUCACCCGCUGAG